AUUGAACGCUGGCGGCAGGCCUAACACAUGCAAGUCGAACGGUAGCACAGAGAGCUUGCUCUCGGGUGACGAGUGGCGGACGGGUGAGUAAUGUCUGGGAAACUGCCCGAUGGAGGGGGAUAACUACUGGAAACGGUAGCUAAUACCGCAUAACGUCGCAAGACCAAAGUGGGGGACCUUCGGGCCUCACACCAUCGGAUGUGCCCAGAUGGGAUUAGCUAGUAGGUGGGGUAAUGGCUCACCUAGGCGAAGAUCCCUAGCUGGUCUGAGAGGAUAACCAGCCACACUGGAACUGAGACACGGUCCAGACUCCUACGGGAGGCAGCAGUGGGGAAUAUUGCACAAUGGGCGCAAGCCUGAUGCAGCCAUGCCGCGUGUAUGAAGAAGGCCUUCGGGUUGUAAAGUACUUUCAGCGGGGAGGAAGGCGGUGAAGUUAAUAACUUCACCGAUUGACGUUACCCGCAGAAGAAGCACCGGCUAACUCCGUGCCAGCCGCCGCCGUAA
rnacentral:rRNA from 1 species